GUUUUGACCUUCAUCGUCAAGGGCAUCACAGACUACAAGGAGAAAAAGAAGAAGGCAAUUGAUGGCUGCCUCUUUGCCCUCAUGAUAAUAUACUUUCAUCUUUCUGAAAACAAAGGCAAGAAGAGGGCCGAAAGACCACCAAAGCCUUGGAUUGCCAACUGGACUAAGGAGAAGUUGGUGGAAAGAAUGACUGCAGAAAAAGAAGAAAUUUUGGGGAUUGUGAAGAUGGCGGAGACAAGAGCAAGAGAAAAAAUAAAAAAAAAAAGAAAAAAAGAAAAAAAACAAGAAAUAAAAAAAAACAAAAAAAAGGAAGGCGAGUCCAACAUCGUCUUCGGAGAUAGAAACAGCUACUGACAGUGACACUUCUACCUCUGACUCUGAGACUCAACAAGACUCAGAGGAUUCAGCAAGAAAACACCCCAUCAAAAAGGG